rnacentral:tRNA from 1 species
AGCGGAUUGUCUACAACUGGUUCACAAGCCGGCAGUCCGCUUGUGGCGAUCACAAUCCGGGUGUCGGGGGUUCGAGUCCCUCCUCCGCUACCA